AUGCCGCACGCGCGCUCCGAUCUGGGCUUGGAUGAUUCGCCGGCAGAGUCGUCGAGCUUCCGCAGCCCCAGUUCUUUCCCCAGAACAAAGCGUACAAAGUGGUCUGACAGGGAACCGCUUGAUUGUUCCGCCUCGGCUUGCAGUGGUGCACGCGUGAACAUGCUUGACCGGUGUUCGGAGAGGCGUCAGAUGGCUUCCUGUAGCGGCGACCAACCACAGAGCUCAGGCAUGUUUGUUGCCACGCAGGGGAAUGUUUGUCCUGUCAAUAACGGCGGUGGGAUCUAUUCGCAGUCUGGCAUGGGCUAUUCAAAUGGUCAAAAUGGGACAUAUGGUGCAUAUCCGCAACAUCAGCCCUUUGAAGGCUGUAUGUAUGUGAAUGAGCAUGGCCAGAUGUGUGGGCCUUACGCACCCAAGCAGCUCUAUGAGGGGCUAUCCAGUGGUUUCUUGCCUCAAGAUCUUGCUAUUUAUGCUCUUGUUGGUGGGCAAAUGCUCAAUCCUGUAGCCUUGAGUUCUCUAGAGCAGUUCCUUUCACAAUGGAAUUCUGCUGGCGCGGUCACCACGCCAAAUGAAUCGAAGGAGAAUAAGACAGUGGCUCGUACUGAUAAAAUGGCGCUUCCAGAUGCUCUCUCAAGCGAUGAGUCAUGCUGGAUGUUCGAGGACAGCGAUGGUAGCCGUCAUGGGCCACAUUCUCUUGCUGAACUUUCUUAUUGGCUUCAUAGCAGCUAUCUCCAGGAUCUUUCUAUGGUUUACCAUGUUGAUAGCAAAUUUGGUCCAUUUACACUUGUCUCAUUAAUUGAUUGGUGGAGUGGAGGUCACACCGAGCAUUCAGAAGCUUCAGAGAAUGAUUCUGGGUCAGCCAGUGACGUGAUGGGUGACAUAGUCGAUGAUAUUAGUCAUCAGCUCCAUGCCGGUAUAGUGAAAUCAGCCCGCAAGAUUUUUGUUGAUGAAAUUUUCAGCUGUGUGCUUCCAGAAAUUAUCGCCUGUAGGAAGACUGAGAAGCAACUAGCUGCAAAAUCGAAACUCCUAGCUGUUAAGCCUGACAGCAAGAAGGCUUCAGCAUUAAAGGGCAAGGCUCAUGCAAAAUUUACUGAUCACAAAAAAGGAAACUCAUAUAAUACAGUACGAGCAACUUCUCCCGUGGCUGUUCAGUCAACUGCGGUGCAUGCCAAAUUUGCUGAUAUAUUAUCAGCAGUUUGGCAAACUCUUUAUUACGAAUCCAUGAAGAAUAUCUGGGAUGGGAUACUGUAUGAUCCUGUUAUGGACUACUGUGGUGCAUGGAUUAAGAGAAAUCACCAUUCAAGUCUUCCUUGUACGAGUAUUCCUGGUGGGUCUGAUAAUGGAAACAAGCAAGAAGCUGACGGAUUGAAGGUAAUAUGUGAUUCAGAAGCUAUCGAGUGCGACAUGGAUUUCCCACCUGGAUUUGGGCCAACAUUGGAGUGUGCAAGCCCUGUCUCUCCGCCGUUGUUAGAUAUUGGUUCUUGCGAUGGCAAAAAUAGUUGGUGGCGUGAAUCAAGUUCCACCAUAUAUUUUGAUCCCUCAUCAGGAGUCCAGGUAAUGCUGGCAAAUGAACUAUACGUGGCAGCAAAGGAAACUUUGUUUCACCAUUUCAGGAAGGUUAUUGCAGAGGAGAUAACAAACUGGUUGGGCUUUGGACUUGAAGACAUCACUGAUCAAGAACUAAUUCGUACUCCUGUUCAUGCACCGGACUCGCCUAGUUCUGCUGGAAUGGACAUUCAUGAAACACCCCCCAUUCCUUCUGAAAUGGCUCAAGAUAAAUUAUUGGAUAUUGCUAAAAUGACUACAGAUGCAAUAACCAGUCCGGCUGAAAUGGCUCUAGAUGCAAUAACCAGUCCGGCUGAAAUGGCUCUAGAUGCAAUAACCAGUCCGGCUGAAAUGGUUCUAGAUGCAAUAACCAGUCCGGCUGAAAUGGCUGUAGAUGAAGUGUUGGUUACAGCUGAAAUAGCUACUGAUACUGUACCCAUUCCUGCUGACAUGGUGGCAGGCGCAACAUCAUCUGUAUCUGAUGUGGCAACAGAUAAAAUGCUCACUUCUCAUGUGGAGCAUCAAUCCCCUUCUUCAUCUUAUGCUAGUAUAUUUGAAAAGCUGGAUGUAUCCGAGGCAGCUGAAUUGGAUGAGAGUUUUGAUGAGGUGCCUCCUGGUAUGGAGACUGGCUCAGCUUCUGUGCUGGUCAUGGACAAAAACAAAUACCGACCUUCAAAACCAACCAACUCUAUGCCCGGAAUUUCUAGAUACAUUACCGUGGCUAUCUGCAGGCAGACACUGCAUAAGAAUGUUAUAGAAGAGUGGGCAUCUCUCCUGUCAGAUACUAUCAGUGAGUGCCUUGAUUCAUGGUAUACCAAGCAGACUGUUGUGCCUAAAAACAUCGACGAAUCAUUGAGACCUAAUAAAGAAUAUGCGUACUACAGAAAGAGAAAGUUAAGGAACAGCUGUGAAGCAGUGUCAUCCAAAAAAGCAGUGAGAACUCCAACGGAUGAGCAGCUUUCCAAGCCUCUACGUGAGCUUGUUGAGCGCAAGGUUCAUCUUAAAAAUGUCCAGGAACCAAGGAAGGCCGGGAAGUCGAAAAAGUCCUCCAAGAGUCGUACCAAAACUCUUGAUAAUGUUGUAAACACUUUGAAUAUCGAACAAGGCUUGAAGCGGCUUUCCAAUGAUGUGCCAAAGACCUCCAUGAGUCGUACCAAAACUCUUGAUAAUGCUGUAAACCCUUUGAACAUUGAACAAGGCUUGAAGCGGCUUCCCAAUGAUGUGCCAAAGGCCUCCAAGAGUCGUACCAAAACUCUUGAUAAUGCUGUAAACCCUUUGAAUAUCAAACAAGGCUUGAAGCGGCUUUCUAAUGGUGUGCCAAAGGCCUCCAAGAGUCGUACCAAAACUCUUGAUAAUGCUGUAAACCCUUUGAAUAUUGAACAAGGCUUGGAGCGGCUUUCCAGUGAUGUGCCAAAGAUCUCCAAGAGUCGUACCAAAACUCCUGAUAAUGUUGUAAGCCCUUUGAAUAUCGAACAGGACUUGAAGCGGCUUUCCAAUGAUGUGCCAAAGAGACAAAGGACUUCUCAUCUUACUAGGAUGCCUCUGGUUGAUAACGAGGUUCCUUUUGAGAACGUUAGUGUGCCCACAAAGCUUGCAAAGAAAAGAAAGAAUAAGAACAUGUCUACUGACUCCAGUCAGAAGGCAAAACCAUUGAUUUUGUGUCCAGAGUCAGAUGGUUGUGCAAGAGCUUCCUCCAAUGGGUGGGAGUGGCGUAAUUGGGCACGCACCGCCACUCCAUCAGAAAGGACUCGUGUGAGAGGGUACCGCGUUCGGAGUAUUCUUUCAACUUCAGCUAAUAAUGUGUGGAAAAACCCACAAGUUAAAGGUACAUCUGCGCGAACAAACCGCGUUAAGUUACGAAACCUGUUAGCUGCUUCUGAAGGCACCGAGCUACUGAAAAUUACCCAAUCGAAGGCAAGGAAGAAGCGGUUACGUUUUCAAAGGAGCAAGAUUCAUGAAUGGGGUCUGGUGGCCCUUGAGUCAAUUGAUGCAGAAGAUUUCGUUAUUGAAUAUGUUGGUGAACUGAUUCGCCGGCCGGUCUCAGACAUACGUGAGGCUCAAUAUGAGAAGAGUGGAAUUGGAAGCAGUUACCUUUUUCGCUUGGAUGAUGAUUAUGUGGUUGAUGCUACAAAGCGUGGCGGUUUAGCAAGAUUUAUCAACCAUUCGUGUGAGCCGAAUUGUUAUACAAAAAUAAUUACUGUUGAGGGCCAGAAGAAGAUUUUCAUUUACGCAAAGAGGCGUAUAUAUGCUGGCGAAGAAUUGACGUACAAUUACAAAUUUCCAUUGGAGGAAAAUAAGAUACCAUGCCACUGUGGUUCCCAAAGGUGCCGUGGUUCAAUGAACUAA
rnacentral:rRNA from 1 species